rnacentral:rRNA from 1 species
CCCUUAGAUGUUCUGGGCUGCACGCGUGCUACAAUGGCGCUUGCAACAAGUCUUGCCAACCCGAUAGGGUGAGCGGAUCUUUGAAGAGGCGUCGUGAUCGGGACAGUUGAUUGCAAUUAUUCGACUCGAACGAGGAAUUCCUUGUAAUCGCGAUUCAUCAUAUAGCGCUGAAUACGUCCCUGCCCUUUGUACACACCGCCCGUCGCUCCUACCGAUUGAGCGAUCCGGUGAAUGUUUUGGACUGGCGUCAGAAGCGGUUCGCUCCUGACACUACGAAAUUUUGUAAACCUUAUCGCUUAGAGGAAGGAAAAGUCGUAACA